AUGCCCGCCGGCCGGAAGCGCCCAGCUCCAUCCCCGUUCGCCGGCUUCUCCCCCUUCGCCCGCUCCCUCCUCUUCUCCCCCGCCUCCGGCUUCUCCAGGCUGCCGCUCACCAAACCCCAUCAAGAGACCGCCGACAUGCCGCCGCCACCGGCCAAGCGCGCGAAGCAGGCCGAGCCCACCAGCGACGUGGAGGAGGAGGAGGAGGAGGAGCGCCGCACCAGCGACGCCGACGAGGAGCUCUCGGGCAGCGACGGCGACAGCGACAGCGACAGCUCUCUGGAGUGCUCGAGCAGCGACGACGGAGAAGACGCGUCGCAGGAGAUGGAGACGGUGCAGGCGGACUUCGCCUUCUUCGACCCCAAGCCCGCCGACUUCCACGGCGUCAGGCUGCUGCUCAAGACCUAUCUCGACUCCAAGCCCUGGGACCUCACCGGCUUCGUCGACCUCGUCCUCGAGCAGACCACCGUCGGCACCGUUGUCAAGAUGGCCGACGACGAGGAUGAGGAUGGGGAAGCAAAUGGGGGCGACAAGAGCGACGACGAUGAGGACCUCUUCGGUCUCAUUACCGUGCUCAAUUUGGGAAGAUACGGGGAGAACUGUUGCAUCAAGGAUCUGAAGGAAUAUCUGCUUGCUGUUUGUGGCGACAAGGACACCAAGAAGAAGCUCAAGUCGCUGCUGGAAGAGAAAGCGUCCACUGUCGGCCUGCUGGUGUGCCGGCGCUUUGUGAAUUUCCCUUAUGAAAUGGUGCCUAAGAUGUACGAUUCGCUGUUUGACGAGGUUUCCUGGGCGACAGAAGAUGAGCCAACACAAGAACUCCAGGACUCCUUCCGAUUCAAGCAGUACCUGUUGCUUGUCAGAAUCUUGGAGAGAAAAACUCCUCCGAAGCAGAAGGCAAAGAACAACAAAGAUGAGGAUGAACCUGUUAUCUACCCGAAAUUGGAGGACGAAAUUUUCCAUGAGCUUAGUUCGUGGUCUUUUACUUUUCCAAUUCGCGCUGAACAGUCAGCUCAGCAAGAGCUGAAGAACUACAAGGAGAUGGGCCUGGUGAUGUGCGUCAAAGCUGACGUGAUCCCGAAGUUCCGCAAGAAGCUGGAGGCUUUGGUGUCAGAAUAG
rnacentral:rRNA from 1 species